AUGAAGAGGUUGCCAUUAAGCUUGUAAGUGUUAUUUUCCUCCUCCCCUCUAUCUAAUUUCUGUUUGGAUCUCAUGAAUUUGUUCAAUUUUACUUUGGGUGUUUUUCCUUUGGGUAUGUUUGUGGAAAUUUGGUGUUUUCUAUUGUCUCAUCCACUUUCAUGAAUAUCUGGAGCCGUCAAAACUGCUUAGUCACGUAAUUGGAACAUGGGUUUAUCUAAUAGCUAUUAUUUGAGUAAGUUGCUUCUGCUAUGACAGCAAAUUAAGCGAAGGAAACCCGACAAUGUACUGCUAAAGUAGCCAAGUGUUUAGUAGGCAAUCAUGUGUGUUUUAACCGUUUAAAAUUUGAACCCUAGCAUUAACUGAUAAAACCUGGAUUUUAUGCAAUGCAAAUCAAUCCUUCUAGGCAGCACUUGAUAGAGCUAGGAAUUUAUUCAGAACACAAAUGAGAAAGAAUGGAAAUAAGAACUUUUAUUCACUUCUUGAAUG
rnacentral:misc_RNA from 1 species